rnacentral:rRNA from 1 species
CUUGAGAAACCUAAAAGUUCGAAAAGCGAGAUUCAAUGUCAGUAUGUAUUGUAUUCACGUGAGUAGGGAUGUGUGCACUUUUUCAUGUUUUUUUAUUGCAAUACUAUUACCGGCGUGCACUUCUCGCUUAGUAGGACGUCCCGACCCGUUGAGUCUUAACCUACGGCUCAGACUUUGAUAUUUAUUUAUUAAAGACCUCUGAUAUUAAAGACCUCUGACUUGUCUGGUUAUAGUACUCGACGGGGUGUCAGCCGCAUUGACGAAUGCGCCCAUGCGCCCGGCCAGCUGCAAUGUUGUUAGCAUACCGUAUUAUAUAGACUUUGUGCUAUUGGUAUGGUCUGUGCUUGAUGGGCCGGCUUACUUCGCCUGUCUGGGACGCUUAGGCUUUGGGUACUCUCAAGACCCGUCUUGAAACACGGACCAAGGAGUCUAACAUGUACGCGAGUCAUUGGGUAUAUAUUUUUCAAACCUAAAGGCGUAAUGAAAGUAAAGGUUGAA